rnacentral:tRNA from 1 species
UCCGAAUUGGUGUAGUGGCUAACAUUUGGUGCUCUCAUCAGUCGACUGACUGCUAGGGAUCCGCCAAGCCCGGGGUUCGAUUCCCCGAUUCGGAG